AACGCACCUUGCGCUCCUUGGUAUUCCUCGGAGCAUGCCUGUUUGAGUAUCAUGAAAUUCUCAAAGUAGACCUUUCGUUCAGUCGAUCGGACUCCGCUUUGGACUUGGAGGUCUGCAGAUUCACGUCUGCUCCUCUCAAACGCAUUAGCUGGAUCUCGGUGAGCUUGGUUCCACUCGGCGUGAUAAGUAUCGCUCGCCGAGGACACCCGUCAAAAGGUGGCCAGGAUCUCGGAAGAACCGCUUCUAACAGUCUAUUCGCUUGGACAAUAAAUUUAUGAUCUGAUCUCAAAUCAGGUAGGACUACCCGCUGAACUUAA
rnacentral:misc_RNA from 1 species